rnacentral:piRNA from 1 species
UUUAUUCAACUUUCCUAAACU